rnacentral:tRNA from 1 species
CCUGGUGGCUCAGAUGGUAAAGCAUCUGCCUACAAUGCAGGAGACUUGGGUUCAAUCCCUAGGUCAGGA